UGCUCUUGCUGGGUUUCUCCCUAGGCCGCUGCCUUCCAAUGUCGUGCGGCCAGACAGCACCCCGCUGCUGGCUCUUCAUCUCUUCGCCGGCGGUGCAACUCCCGCCGCCGUCGGGACACCCGCGCUGCCGCCUCCCCGUUAGGGCCACACGCGCUUCGACCUCCUCCCGCCUCCCAGCCGGUGGCGGCAGCGCGCGCCAGCAGACCCGGCCGCGCCUCGUAGCAGCACACACGAUACCUCCGCCGCCGCCCCCUACCGCCAGGACCGUCCGGAGGGACGCCGUGACGGGGCUCGCUUUCCUCCUCUUCGUGCUCGGCCUGGUGAUCAGCUCAGCUCUAUCACUAGUUAUCGUCUCAUUUCCAGCAUGGAGAGCUCUGUAGCAGAUGGAAAUCGCAGCUCGUAAAUUGUCAAAAUUAGCAGCACAAGAGGUACCCGGAACUAUAUCGUCACUAAAGCUGUCAUUCAUGGAGAUCAACGAUCUAACCAGCCAACUAAAGAAAAUUAGGCACAUUUUCACAACAAAUAGAUCUGGGAAGGAUAGAUGACUAAUGUGGCAGCAUGAUCACGGACUGAAUUCUUUAAUCUGUAGUGAUGUCUUAGUUCUUACUACUUUGUUAGAUUAUUACUUGUACUUCACCAUGCCCGGCAAGUGUUCAGUGAAAUGACCGUGCUAAAUUUUUUUGUCCCUUCUUCUUUGAAGCAAUGGAUUCAGAUAUGGCACUAUGUUGAGUCCUCCAACGAUUCGUCCGACAAGGAUGACUACACAAAUGAAACAGUGAUGAUGCAGGAAAUCCAUACAGACGCGGAGUGUGCGGAGGAGCACGUUCUUGAUAUCAAAGGAUCGGUCAAGGGUCAUCAAGUGCUCAACCGCAACAGUGCACACAACCAUUUGAAGUUAAUGGACGAUUAUGUUGCCCCGGAUGCCCUAUCAUCUGACAAUUUUCACUGGCGCUUUCGGAUGCGAAAAAAGAAUCUCUUUGAUAGUCUCUACCAUGGCGUCCGGUCCUUUGAUGACUACUUCAUCUUGAAGAAGGAUGUCGUAGGAAAGAUUGGAUUCUCUUAUCACCAAAAGUGCAUGGCUGGAUGCGAAUACUUGCAUAUGGCAUGGCCGCAGAUUCGGGGGACAAAUACCUCGGAAUGUCCGAGAGCACAUGCGAAUACACCAUGGUCAGAUUUGCUACUGCAGUGGUCGAGGUGUUUGGACCUUGGUACUUGAGAGAGCCAACUGUUGUAGACAGUGAGAUGCUCCUAGCAAUGCCCGAAGCAAGAGGGUGGCCAGGUUUGCUCAGAUCUCUUGAUUGCAUGCACCGGAGAUGGAAGAACUGCACAAAAGCUCUAUAAUGGCAAUAUCAGGGCCAUGUUAAGAAGUCCACCAUCCUUCUUGAAGCAACAUUCUUGAAUCAGUUUGUGAGAUCCCAAAAUUUAGAAUUUUGAAUCAUUAAUCAUUUAAAUAGGAUUAAUUUAAAAUUUGCUUGUGUUGCUUGCCUUUAG